rnacentral:rRNA from 1 species
GACGAACGCUGGCGGCAGGCCUAACACAUGCAAGUCGAACGAACCUUUCGGGGUUAGUGGCGGACGGGUGAGUAACACGUGGGAACGUGCCUUUAGGUUCGGAAUAACUCAGGGAAACUUGUGCUAAUACCGAAUGUGCCCUUCGGGGGAAAGAUUUAUCGCCUUUAGAGCGGCCCGCGUCUGAUUAGCUAGUUGGUUGAGGUAAUGGCUCACUAAGGCGACGAUCAGUAGCUGGUCUGAGAGGAUGAUCAGCCACAUUGGGACUGAGACACGGCCCAAACUCCUACGGGAGGCAGCAGUGGGGAAUCUUGCGCAAUGGGCGAAAGCCUGACGCAGCCAUGCCGCGUGAAUGAUGAAGGUCUUAGGAUUGUAAAAUUCUUUCACCGGGGACGAUAAUGACGGUACCCGGAGAAGAAGCCCCGGCUAACUUCGUG